UCCCGGUGGGCGGGGCGGUGGUCUCCGGCGUCUGCGGCGCGGUGGACUCCGCCUUGCCGUCGGUGUUCGACGCGGCGGCCGGGGCC
rnacentral:tRNA from 1 species